rnacentral:rRNA from 1 species
UCCUGACUUCUUACUUCUUAGAGGGACUAUCGGAUCGUGUAGCCGAUGGAAGUUCGAGGCAAUAACAGGUCUGUGAUGCCCUUAGAUGUUCUGGGCCGCACGCGCGCUACACUGACGCGAGCAUCGAGCUUACAACCUUGACUGAGAGGUCUGGGUAAUCUUUUCAAAACGCGUCGNGCUGGGGAUAGAUUAUUGCAAUUAUUAAUCUUAAACGAGGAAUUCCUAGUAAACGCUAGUCAUCAGCUAGCAUUGAUUACGUCCCUGCCCUUUGUACACACCGCCCGUCGCUACUACCGAUUGAAUGGCUUAGUGAGCUGCACGGAGUGCGGCACCCGGUUGGGUUUCCUUCCAGGUGCUUCGCGCGAAGUGNAACAAACUUGAUCAUUUAGAGGAAGUAAAAGUCGUAACAAGGUUUCCGUAGGUGAACCUGCGGAAGGAUCAUUAACACGUAUCCACGUAUCAAAACCCCUCUGUGAACACUAACCAAAGAUUGAGUACUGUGUAGUCGUGAACCCCUUCCUGCUAUGAGCUCCAAUGAAGAAUGAGACUUCGGUUUCAGAGCUCGGGUUGGUGGUAAACGGUGGCAUACCCCAAAAUACUUGAUCGCCCUUCUUUGAUCUUCGUUAAAAACUACCCUUUUUAAACCCCAUGUACUAUCAUGUACUGAACCACUUUCUUAUUGCUUGCUGUCAAAAGCGUGGCAAAAGAAUUGAUAUACGAAACUUAAGAACAACUCUUAGCAACGGAUAUCUUGGUUCCCGCAACGAUGAAGAACGCAGCGAAAUGCGAUACGUCAUGCGAAUUGCAGAAUUCAGUGAAUCAUCAAAUCUUUGAACGCAAAUUGCACUCUCUGGAUAGACCGGGGAGUACUCUUCUUUCAGUAUCGGUUCUAUCUAUCUCGCCUGCGUGCGUACAUGUAUGUACGCAGCGCGGAAAAUGAGCGUCUCGGUCCUGCCGAGUUGCUUGAAGGAUAGUAGAGCUCCGCACUACGUGGUUUCCCUUCUCUCACGAGAAGGCCCGCUUGUGACUAGUGACUUGGAUAAGCUCGCUUCGUGCGACUCCCCAUAGUCAAACCUAGGCGCAGGAUGUGGUCCACACCUGUUGCGGAAUGUUCUUCUUGAUUUGGGUAUUCCACCCACUUAACGAAAUCAGAUCUGAGAUGAAGUGAGAGGACCGGCUGAACUUAAGCAUAUCAUUAAGCCGAGGAAAAGAAAAUAACUAUGAUUCCCCUAGUAACGGCGAGUGAAGCGGGAAGAGCUCAAUCUGAAAAUCUGGUGCCCAUGCGGGUACCCGAAUUGUAGUCUAAAGACGCAAAGUCAGCGUGUGACCCGGGUUUAAGUCUUUUGGAACAAGGCAUCGUAGAGGGUGAGAAUCCCGUCUUCAACCUGGAGUUCGCCGCGUAAGACUUGUGUUCGAAGAGUCGAGUUGGUCGGGAUUCCAGCUCUAAAUGGGUGGUAAGAUUCAUCUAAAGCUAAAUAUUGGCGGGAGACCGAUAGCGAACAAGUACCG